CCGCUCAUAGCUCAAUGGUAGAGCAGCUGCCUCUUAAGCAGUUGGUUGUAGGUUCGACUCCUACUGAGCGGA
rnacentral:tRNA from 1 species